GAACAUUUUGGGGUUUUUUCUACCUCGAUACUCGGUGUGUUUAGAGUCAUGCCUGCAAGCUGUAACUAAACAUAAUUUCCCGAAUUCUUAAGCUUAUUAACGUAUUGUUGAUUUUUGGACUUCUCGUCAAGACAUAAAGUUCUCGAUAUGGCUGCUCCAAAUCGUCCAUUAUUGGGUGGGUUCGCCAACCCAAACUUUGUGUUGAUCAAUGGCGAAUAUUGGAGUGCGAGUGGGAAUAGGAGGUAUGUCCAAGCCCAUUCCUGGAUUGCAGAAUUCGCAAACAUUCUUCUCGAUUGGAUGCGGAUAAAAGGGUACCCAAAUCCCAUAUGGCCGGAUCAAACACCACUUUCCGUGGGAGGUCCAUCGGAAAUUAUGAAUUAUAUCGAAACCUUCCCGUGUUAUAUUGCUCGUGAUGAUCCAACUAUCGAAUCUAAAGUAAGAAGACAGAUGUGCUAUAUUCGACGACUCAGAAAUAAGAUCACACACGAAAAUAUAGAAAAUGCUGAAACAUUGAAAAAAUUACUUCACCAAAUGAAGGAAGUCUGCAAGUUAUCACCCAAGAAAACAGGACCACAGGGAUUUGCUUCCAGAUGUGAAAAUGAAUUAGACAAUGCAAACCAUAUACAAACUAGUUUUUUGUAUUGAAGGGUUAACAUGUGCUCAUUUUGCUACCAAAAUGACCUGCCAAUUCCCGCAUAAGUAAUGCCUCGUGUUGAACGUGAGCAUAUAUAAGACUUUUAGUAUACUUUUAAAUGCAUAUCACCUUUAUGAGUUCAUUACAAUCAAUCUUAAUCUUUAUUGAA